AACGAAAACAAAUUUACCGAAUGUGAACAUUUCCCGACCAUUUUCGAGCUUGAGAGAGUUUGCUUUGGCAGUAAUUUCCUUGAUUGGUGAGCUGAAUAAUGCUUGACCAUACUUCAGACACACAGUAUAAAAUACAAUACUUAUGAGGGAUGGCUCCCAAAAAAAACAGCUACAGGAUAACACAGGUGGCACAUAUGGAGUACAGUUAAUAUGAGUUAUGGCGCUCAAACUGGAAAACAGCAACAUCACAUUAUU